rnacentral:rRNA from 1 species
GAUGAACGCUAGCGGGAGGCCUAACACAUGCAAGCCGAGCGGUAGAGUUUCUUUGGAAACUUGAGAGCGGCGCACGGGUGCGUAACACGUGUGCAACCUACCUUUAUCUGGGGGAUAGCCUUUCGAAAGGAAGAUUAAUACCCCAUAAUAUAAUGAUUGGCAUCAAUUAUUAUUGAAAACUCCGGUGGAUAGAGAUGGGCACGCGCAAGAUUAGAUAGUUGGUGAGGUAAAGGCUCACCAAGUCAAUGAUCUUUAGGGGUCCUGAGAGGGAGAUCCCCCACACUGGUACUGAGACACGGACCAGACUCCUACGGGAGGCAGCAGUGAGGAAUAUUGGACAAUGGGUGAGAGCCUGAUCCAGCCAUCCCGCGUGAAGGAUGACGGUCCUAUGGAUUGUAAACUUCUUUUGUACAGGGAUAAACCUACCCUCGUGAGGGUAGCUGAAGGUACUGUACGAAUAAGCACCGGCUAACUCCGUG